rnacentral:rRNA from 1 species
GAGUUUGAUCCUGGCUCAGGACGAACGCUGGCGGCGUGCCUAACACAUGCAAGUCGAACGGAGAUAUCCGCUGAUGAAGUACUUCGGUAAUGAUUCUUGGAUAUCUUAGUGGCGGACGGGUGAGUAACGCGUGAGCAACCUGCCUUUCAGAGGGGGAUAACGUUUGGAAACGAACGCUAAUACCGCAUGAUAUUAUUGAGCUGCAUGGCUUGAUAAUCAAAGGAGCAAUCCGCUGAAAGAUGGGCUCGCGUCCGAUUAGGUAGUUGGCGGGGCAACGGCCCACCAAGCCGACGAUCGGUAGCCGGACUGAGAGGUUGAACGGCCACAUUGGGGACUGAGACACGGCCCAGACUCCUACGGGAGGCAGCAGUGAGGGAUAUUGGUCAAUGGGGAAACCCUGAACCAGCAACGCCGCGUGAGGGAAGACGGUUUCGGAUUGUAAACCUCUGUCCUCUGUGAAGAUAAUGACGGUAGCAGAGGAGGAAGCUCCGGCUAACUACGUGCCAGCCGCCGCA